rnacentral:lncRNA from 1 species
UUAAAAACAUGUCACUGGGAUUUGAAACACCUUCUAAUCCUGACUGAGACAUCUGGAAAACUCCAAGCUGACAGCAAAAUACCAUUAUCUUGACAGGCUAAAAGACAGUAAAGUAAAUGAAUGAUUGACAUACGAAAAUUAUACCUAGAAGACAAGGACAAAAAUGUUUCUCACAUUAUGGUCCCCCAACAAACCAUCAUUUCUUAUUUGUUGUGUGUUAGCUCCUGCUUUCCGCAUUAUACUAAUCUAUGUUCACGUUGCAUGCUUAGAGCCCCAAGGCCAUGAAAUGAUAUUACAGGGUCUACAUUACAAUCACCACUUAUGGUUUAAGUCGUAUAUUUUCCAUUAGACUUGGUUCCACCAGUCACACACAGUAAGAUGCACUUUUAACAGAUCCAUGGAAGAAGAAAAUUGCCUCCAUGGCUCCAUCCUUGUUGAAUAGGGAGUAUGAGAUUAUGAGGAAAUAGACUUUUAAGAAAAGUAGAACACAGAAUAAAUUAAGGGAAAUAUAGAUAUCAAGUCAUUAACUAAUCCAUUCAGAGUAAUAUCAAGUCAUUUACUAUCUGACAUUAUCACAUUUAGGUCAUUAACUAAUCCGUUCAGAGAAAUAUUUCCUGAGUCAUCAUAGAAUGAAAUAAAGACAUAAUGAUAAACCAGAUCUUAGCAAAAGUUUUACCAAAAAUUAUGCCAGCAAUUUUAUCAAUGUAUAGAUAUGUGAAGGAAAUUAUAAAAUAGUGGAGCGCAAUGUGAUAAAGAGGAAAUUCUUUCCUACACAAGAUAUUCAUACACCUGACACAAAAAGGCAGCUUUGGUUGGGUGCAUAGAAACUCACCAUCAGCAAAAGUUUUACAAUAAGUAUCGAGGACCAAAUUUAGGAACCAAAUCCUGGAACAGGAUUAGAAUUUCUAACAAUAAUGAGGAUGAUCUGGACACACUGAGCUAAGAUUCUUGAGCAGCCGCGACAUAUCCUUUAACACGGAAGAACAGAGAUACUACGAAGCACAGGGUACUGUUGAAUAUGCCAACAGCUGGCAAUAGUAUUCGUAUGGGAAAGAAAGUGU